rnacentral:misc_RNA from 1 species
CUGGAAGUAAAAGUGUAACAAGGUUUCCGUAGGUGAACCUGCGGAAGGAUCAUUAAAAAAUGAGACCUCUGAUUUAAGGGGUCUAUUAAUAAUCCUACCCCUUGUGAAUUUGUUUGUUUUUUAAUUUGUGUCUUUCCCUGUUUUUUGAUGGAGCUUGUUAAAAAGCAAAAUCAAAUGCAGGGGAAUGGCAAAACCUUUUUUAAAAUUAAACAUUUGUAUUCAUUUGUCUAAAAAUUAUUUUUAUAAUAUAAAAACAACUUUUGACAAUGGAUCCCUUGGUUCUCGCAACGAUGAAGAACGCAGCAAAAUGCGAUAAGUAGUGUGAAUUGCAGAAUACGUGAAUCAUCGAAUCUUCGAACGCAUAUUGCACUUUUUUAGUUUACUAAAAAAGUAUGUCUGUUUGAGUAUCAGUAAAAUAUUCUCAUAAAAAAGUUUAUUUUUUUUAUGGUAUGAGUGUUUUACAACGAUAAACAAGUUGUUUCACUUUAAAUUCUUUUGUUUAUCAAAAGAAAAUCAUUAAAAAAACUAAUUUUAAAGAUUUUUUUUAAAAUUGGAUAAAAUUUUCCCGUAAGAAGGAAUAACCUAAACAAUUUUAAAAAAAUUAAAAUUGGUUUGAUUUCUUUUUUGAAAUUAAAGGAAAAAAAGUCAAAAUUAACUUGAUCUCAAAUCAGAUAAGAGUACCCGCUGAACUUAAGCAUAUCAAUAAGCGGAGGAAAAGAAACUAACUAGGAUUCCCUUAGUAACGGCGAGUGAAGCGGGAAGAGCUCAAAUUUGAAAUCUUCAAGGUUCUACCUUGACGAAUUGUAGUUUAUAGAAGUGUUUUCUGUUAGUAGAGUGGCAAAAGUUCUUUGGAAUAGGACAUCAUAGAGGGUGAGAAUCCCGUAUUUGGUCAUUCUUUCUAGCUUUGUGAUACACUUUCAACGAGUCGGAUUGUUUGGGAAUGCAGUCCAAAAUGGGUGGUAAAUUUCAUCUAAAGCUAAAUAUUGGCGAGAGACCGAUAGCGAACAAGUACCGUGAGGGAAAGAUGAAAAGAACUUUGAAAAGAGAGUUAAACAGUACGUGGAAUUGUCAAAAGGGAAGCGUUUGACACCGGUGUUGUUUUUCCGAAAAUCAAUUACGAAUGUUUUGUUUUUAAGAAGUUAUGACUUCAUCGGCUUGCUUCUUUCUUUACGAAACUUUCUUAAUACACUUUUCGGUUAACAAGUCAACAUCAAUUUCUUUUGUUGUAAAAGGGUACGAGGAAGGUGGCUUUCUUUUCGGAGAAAGUGUUUAUAGCCUUGUACCUCUGCAAUCGGAGAGAUUGAGGUCUGCAGCGUAGAUCCUUCGGGGUUAGAUGCUUUUGUGCUAAGCUAUAGCCUUUCAUAGACAACUUGUUGACUAUGAUCAGUCAUGUAGCUU